AUUGAACGCUGGCGGCAGGCCUAACACAUGCAAGUCGAACGAGUGGCGGACGGGUGCGUAAUGUCUGGGCAACUGCCUGAUGGCGGGGGAUAACUACUGGAAACGGUAGCUAAUACCGCAUACCAUCGGAUGUGCCCAGAUAGGAUUAGCUAGUAGGUGGGGUAAAGGCUCACCUAGGCGACGAUCCCUAGCUGGUCAGAGAGGAUGACCAGCAACACUGGAACUGGGACACGGUCCAGACUCCUACGGGAGGCAGCAGUGGGGAAUAUUGGACAAUGGGCGAAAGCCUGAUGCAGCCAUGCCGCGUGGAUGAAGAAGGCCUUCGGGUUGUAAAGUACGUUCAGCGGGGAGGCGUUACCCGCAGAAGAAGCACCGGCUAACUCCGUGCCAGCCGCCGCGGUAAUUC
rnacentral:rRNA from 1 species